rnacentral:rRNA from 1 species
GACGAACGCUGGCGGUGUGCUUAACACAUGCAAGUCGAACGGUAAGGCCCUUUCGGGGGUACACGAGUGGCGAACGGGUGAGUAACACGUGAGUAACCUGCCCUCAUCUCUGGGAUAACAGUCGGAAACGGUUGCUAAUACUGGAUAUGAGCUUGCAAGACAUCUUGUGGGUUGGAAAGAUUUUUUUUGGUUGGGGAUGGACUCGCGGCCUAUCAGCUUGUUGGUGAGGUAGUGGCUCACCAAGGCUUCGACGGGUAGCCGGCCUGAGAGGGCGACCGGCCACAUUGGGACUGAGAUACGGCCCAAACUCCUACGGGAGGCAGCAGUGGGGAAUAUUGCACAAUGGACGGAAGUCUGAUGCAGCAACGCCGCGUGCGGGAUGACGGCCUUCGGGUUGUAAACCGCUUUCAAUUGUGACGAAGCUUUUUUGUGACGGUAGCAGUAGAAGAAGCACCGGCUAACUACGUG